AGUGGAAUAGCUGGGUCAAGUGGUGGUUCCAUUUCAAGUUUUCUAAGGAAUCUCCAUACUGCUUUCUAGAGAGGUUGUACCAAUUUGCAGUCCAACCAGCAAU
rnacentral:pre_miRNA from 1 species